rnacentral:rRNA from 1 species
UACAGAGGGGGCAAGCGUUGUCCGGAUUUACUGGGCGUACAGCGCGCGCAGGCGGACCUGGACGUGCCGUGUGACAAGCCACCGCUCACCGGUGGAGGGCCACGGUACACGACAGGUCUGGAGGCAGGGAGAGGGAUGUGGAAUGCCCGGUGGAGCGGUGAAAUGCGUAGAGAUCGGGCGGAACACCAGCGGCGAAGGCGGCAUCCUGGUCCUGUUCUGACGCUGAGGCGCGAGAGCGUGGGGAGCGAACUGGAUUAGAUACCCAGGUAGUCCACGCCGUAAACGAUGUGUACCCGGCGCUGGGAAGUGAUUGCGCUUCUCGGUGCCUCAGCUUACGCAGUGAGUACACCGCCUGGGGACUACGGCCGCAAGGCUAAA